CGCGUAGGCGGGCGACCAAGUCAGGGGUGAAAUCUUUCGGCUUAACCGGAAAAUAGCCUCUGAUACUGGUUGUCUUGAGGGAGGUAGGGGUCUGUGGAACUUCUGGUGGAGCGGUGAAAUGCGUAGAUAUCAGAAGGAACGCCGGUGGCGAAAGCGACGGACUGGACCUCAUCUGACGCUGAGGCGCGAAAGCUAGGGGAGCAAACG
rnacentral:rRNA from 1 species